AAUUUAUUCGUAGUGCAGAAAAAAUAAAUGUUCGCAGUCGCCCUCAGACUACAGAUCAUUUUGAAACAGAAUCUAUUAGCAUCUCUGUAACUCUUUUAAUUAUUCUAAAUUAUUCUAAUCUAAUACCUUAAUGUUAAUACCCGUUUUUGCACUUUUCCUUCCUAUCAUUUAAAAACUUACACUUAUGUUCCUUUAAAAAACAAAAGAUAUUCACUUUGACUCCGUUGUCGGUCUGUCAGUAUUUCGUUACGGUUCCAUCCUCGACCGUGCCGCCUCACCCUCCACCACACCGCCUUGAGAU
rnacentral:lncRNA from 1 species